ACAAGGCCAACACAGGCGUUGAGGGUCGCUGGAACCGAACGCCGCUGCUCAGGCAGAGAGGGCGACCUCCUUGGUUCGACGGUGAACUCUUUUUUUUUAUCAGAACCCUUACUCGCACAACUCUCUUCGUUUUUUUUUUCGAUGCGGUGCCGCUCGAUCCGGUGCGGAAUAGCGCAGAAAAAGUUCACACAAAAAGUCGAGACGCGCGUGAAGGGAAGCGCAGCCGCUACCUCCGCCACCGCAACUGUUCACUGGGAGAAUGCACCGCCGCUACCGCCCCGGUGUGGGGCUCCGCAAUUCCCAACGGGUGCUUCGACCCCGGACGCGUUCAGGUCUGCGGCUGCACAGCGUACCGGAUGCAGUGAGCAUUGGACAAAGUGCCGUUCGCAGAACAGUGGAUCACAGUCAAUGGCGAAGAAAGGGGAGAUGGAGCGCCGCAGUGGAUUUGACGUUGCCGGUGCUGCUGAUCUGACAGGGGCGAGCACGGCCUCCGACGUUGUGUUUUUGCCGGCGAAAGACAAAGCAGUAACGGAAUCUCUGCUGACACGGGAGCAAGCCACUGUGUGCGGCUUGGCGUGCCAAGGUGCAUCGCUGUUCAUUGGGGGCGAGGCGGGGACCGGCAAGUCGCACCUAUUGCGCGCCAUCGCAGCGAAACUGACGGCACAGGGAUACCGCAUCGCCAUCACGGCUUCCACCGGUAUCGCCGCGUUGAACAUCGGUGGCAACACUUUUCACAGCACCUUUGGCGUGCCUCUACCCACCCCAGAUGAUAUGACGGACCUGUCGACGCAGCCGCCACUCACGGAUGCCGCCUUCGACAUCGACGACGGUCAAGAGAGCGGGGGCGGCGAUGGUGAAGGAAUCGAGGAAGAGGUGGUCGUAGACGACUUCGCAACAGGGUCCUCGGUCGACAAACUCGGACACCCGCGUCGACUGCGAUUCAGAAACACCGGGGUCCUCGCGGAGGUGGACGUAGUGGUCAUCGACGAGGUUUCCAUGCUUCACGCGGGGGUGCUUGAGUCUUUUGAGCGGGCCGCCCGUCGCAUGGCAGGGCGUGACGCCAGUCAGCCGUUCGGGGGUUUGCAGAUGAUUCUCUCCGGCGACUUUCUGCAACUCACGCCGUUCGCCUCGGUCGGCGCCCCUUUCGGCAGGCGGCGGCGGUACCGUCAAGUUGGUGACGGAAGGCCCAACAAAGACGACGACUGCAUCGUCUGCCAGUGCGUCAGUCCUGAGAGCGACGAUGCGCAGCCGUCCGCAGACGAGGCCACGAUCCCCGUUGAGGCGGCAGAGAAGUCGUGCCGCACCGCCGUCGACGCGGCCGCGUCUGAGGUAGAGAGCGCAUCGGCUGCCAAACACAGCAAAAGGAAACGAGUCUCCCGUGCUUCUCAUUGUAGCGCCGGGAAGGGCCGCCGCUGCGACCUGUGGUACUAUGACAAGCCCAUGUUUGAGAGCUGGUGCUUCACUCACUAUCUCCUUCAUGUGCAGCUUCGAGAACCACAGCGCCAGCAGGAUCAACGGUUCGCCGCCGACUUGAAUCGCCUGCGGCAGGGCAGGCUUCCCUAUCGACUGUCGCGCUCCGGUUUUCUGAACGCGGCGGUCGAGGAUGCCGUGCGCCUUUUACCGACCAAGGGGGCUGUCAAGAACUACAACGACCGCAAGAUGUUGGAGCUGGAGGGAGAGGAGCGACUUUUUCCAACGCAGCUCACCAUGACAGAGGCGAUGCGCCCGCCUACCUUUGGUACUACAACAGGGCAGAGACAAGAAGAUGCCGACGACGGCGGCCAGUGGGGAGCCGCACUGCUUGUGCACUAUCGUUUCUGUUCCCCUACUGGAAGUGCUAGAAGUGCGCUCAAGCAGCGAGGGCGACUACGGGACAUGGAGGCGAUUGGCGUCGCUCGUAACCUGGAGGAGGUUUGCCUCUUUCCUCGCGGCUCCGUGCAGGUCUACGGCCUCCCCUCACCGCUCUCGUACUCCACAUCCUUGUCUGCCGUGUGUGUGCGCUGCAGUGGCGCAACUCACUGCAUCGCAGAGGACCGACGAUGCACUGUGAAGAACGUUCUGGAGAUGUGGUCUGGAGUCCCCAGCGCCCGAAACGGCAAGGCCACGUCGGGGAACCUCAAUGGCGCUCAGGAGUACGCACGUGCAGUCGCUCGCCUGCAGCCACUGGGUGCUAUGUUUCCGCGAGAACUCGUGCGUGUGGAAGCUGUGGAUGCGCGGCAGCUAACGCGUCGGCUGCAACCGUUUAUGCAGGAGAGCUUGCGCCAGGCUAUCCGAAAGGAUACCGUGCUCCAGGAUAAGCUGCUGAAAGUCGGGUGUCGUGUGAUGCUGCUACGCAACUUGACGCUUCAGUAUGUGAACGGCUCUCUUGGCAGGGUGGUUGGGUUUCGAUCGUUCUCGGCGUGUAAGGGUCUGUUGCCGGAGGAGAUGAAGGCGCGUGCGACUCCGGCAAACCUGCUAGAGCGUGUCGCCGUGUAUUCCACAGGGAACGGACCGGGCGGCGCCGCAAGCGCUGUGCAGGUGCCUGUAGUGCGGAUGGACGCAGACGGCAAAGAUGUCGCGAUUCCUUGGAUCACGCUGCCGAUUUCGAUCACGAAGCAGGACUGGUGCUUCACCGUGGAUGCUGCCUGCAUCCCGUUGACACCGGCCUACGCGUUUACCGUGCACAAAGUCCAAGGCGUUACGCUGGACCAUGCCGUGCUCUUUGACGCCGGCGAUAUGUUUCCGUGUGACCACCUCGUUUACGUCGCAUCGAGUCGCGUGCGCAAGUUCGAGCACCUGCGCAUUGUGAAUCUCUCUCCGCGGAUGAUAUCGGUGCACAGGCCCUCGCUGCUCUUCACCCAAAACAUCCCAGGCGUCGAGGCCGCGGCAAAGACGUGGGCGGCAUGGAGGUCGAUGCCGCUUUCGGGACAGUUGUUCUACCUUCCCUCUCACCUUGGCCGAGAAUCAGCUCGGUAGAGGUGGCGCGUAUCCCUGAAGACGGUGCGAGCAACGUGCCAUGCCCGUAGCAGCGACUGGGACUACCUAACGUUGCGGAUCUAUCUACCUAUAUAUGUAGGUGUUACUUCUGCAUCUUCUAUGUAACUCUGCCAACUUUGGUUUUUUUCUUAUUGCUCGUUUUGUUGUGUACGUAGUGUGUGGAACAAGUCUGGCACACACACACACAUAAACACAGAACACCGGCCUCCGUCACUCAGAGUUGUCUGUUUGGAAGACAAGGGAAGAGGGAAGAGUGGGUGUUCUAUUCUGUUCCGCUUUCGCUGUCUCGAAUACAGCCUUCGUCCCUGUGCGAUCACUGCUCCACUUUCU
rnacentral:misc_RNA from 1 species